AGGGAAUCUUCCGCAAUGGGCGAAAGCCUGACGGAGCAACGCCGCGUGAGUGAUGAAGGUCUUCGGAUCGUAAAACUCUGUUAUUAGGGAAGAACAAAUGUGUAAGUAACUAUGCACGUCUUGACGGUACCUAAUCAGAAAGCCACGGCUAACUACGUGCCGGCAGCCGCGGUAAUACGUAGGUGGCAAGCGUUAUCCGGAAUUAUUGGGCGUAAAGCGCGCGUAGGCGGUUUUUUAAGUCUGAUGUGAAAGCCCACGGCUCAACCGUGGAGGGUCAUUGGAAACUGGAAAACUUGAGUGCAGAAGAGGAAAGUGGAAUUCCAUGUGUAGCGGUGAAAUGCGCAGAGAUAUGGAGGAACACCAGUGGCGAAGGCGACUUUCUGGUCUGUAACUGACGCUGAUGUGCGAAAGCGUGGGGAUCAAACAGGAUUAGAUACCCUGGUAGUCCACGCCGUAAACGAUGAGUGCUAAGUGUUAGGGGGUUUCCGCCCCUUAGUGCUGCAGCUAACGCAUUAAGCACUCCGCCUGGGGAGUACGACCGCAAGGUUG
rnacentral:rRNA from 1 species